rnacentral:rRNA from 1 species
CGUGGGGAGCAAACAGGAUUAGAUACCUGGUAGUCACGCUGUAAACGAUGUCGAUUUGGAGGUUGUGCCAUGAGGCGUGGCUUCCGGAGCUAACGCGUUAAAUCGACCGCCUGGGGAGUACGGCCGCAAGGUUAAAACUCAAAUGAAUUGACGGGGGCCCGCACAAGCGGUGGAGCAUGUGGUUUAAUUCGAUGCAACGCGAAGAACCUUACCUACUCUUGACAUCCAGAGAACUUUCCAGAGAUGGAUUGGUGCCUUCGGGAACUCUGAGACAGGUGCUGCAUAGCUGUCGUCAGCUCGUGUUGUGAAAUGUUGGGUUAAGUCCCGCAACGAGCGCAACCCUUAUCCUUUGUUGCCAGCGGUUCGGCCGGGAACUCAAAGGAGACUGCCAGUGAUAAACUGGAGGAAGGUGGGGAUGACGUCAAGUCAUCAUGGCCCUUACGAGUAGGGCUACACACGUGCUACAAUGGCGUAUACAAAGAGAAGCGACCUCGCGAGAGCAAGCGGACCUCAUAAAGUACGUCGUAGUCCGGAUUGGAGUCUGCAACUCGACUCCAUGAAGUCGGAAUCGCUAGUAAUCGUAGAUCAGAAUGCUACGGUGAAUACGUUCCCGGGCCUUGUACACACCGCCCGUCACACCAUGGGAGUGGGUUGCAAAAGAAGUAGGUAGCUUAACCUUCGGGAGGGCGCUUACCACUUUGUGAUUCAUGACUGGGGUGAAGUCGUAACAAGGUAACCA